ACUCAGCGCGCGGCGGAGAGUAGGACAGCGCGCCUUCCUGCCUCCGAACUUUAGAGAGAAAACUCCGCGAGCUCCAGCAGCUUUGAUCUUGUGUGCGUGCGCGUGUGCGCGCUUUUAUCCUCGGACACGAGCCUGGGAAUUGAAUUGCUUUCCUGAGGAUAUCUGAGAGUGUUCUUCUGGGCUGUUUGAGACGCUUAACGUUUAAUUUAAUCCUGAACUAAAUUACUUUGUUAAAUUAUUUAAUUGAUUAAUUUGUUUAAUAUCAGUCGUUGUGGUGAGUUUAGCUGUUGCACGUGGCUUCUUCGGGGAUUGUGCAAGCGCUCUAUUGGGAACGGUCACUUAUGUCGUGAGAGGGGACGCUGGAUUUUCACCCCCUUCCUCCAGCCCCCCGCCCUCCUCUUCCUCCUCCCCCCGGCGCUGUCCGAGGGAUGGUGGUGGUCCCACCGCGCUCAGGCUCAGGAGCCCCGCGUUUCGGGGUGGACUCAGAUUGAGGGGAGAUGAAGACCACCACUCUGUGCUGCUGCCUGCUCUUAACCUGCCUCAGGAUAAGCACUGCUGAGGAGCUGGGGAUUCCUCAGGAUCUGAUGGACAAGCUGGCUCACAGCGAAAUCCACAGCAUCAGCGACCUCCAGCGGCUGCUGGAUUUACACUCCGGACACUCUGCAGGUUUGGGAAAUGAAGUGAUGGAGCACUCCAAACAGAAGCACCACCAGAAAGGCCACUCACACCACCACGGCUAUGAGCUCAAGAGCAACCAGGUGCACCGGCGGCGCAAGAGGAGUAUUGUAGAGGAAGCUGUUCCAGCAGUGUGUAAAACACGGACGGUGAUCUACGAAAUCCCCCGCAGUCAAGUGGAUCCCACAGCCGCCAACUUCCUCAUCUGGCCCCCCUGCGUGGAGGUGAAGCGAUGCACAGGCUGUUGCAACACCAGCAACAUGCGCUGCCACGCCUCGAAAAAACACCACCGCACAGUUAAGGUGGCGAAGGUAGAGUUUGCAUCUCGAAAGAAGCCCAAGUUGAAGGAGGUGUUAGUGCGGUUAGAGGAUCACGUGGAGUGUGUAUGUGUGUCACAGCACCAUGUGACAGAACAUGUGGAAGCAGAAACAGGACCCCUUAAGGUCAAAGGUAAAAAACGGAAAAACAGAAAAAAAUCAGUGGCAUCUCAUCUCAGCAAGGAUUUAUUGGCGACGUAAUAAAAACAGCAGGCGUUCCCUAAAGUGCGGCGGAUCCGUGCCUACUGCAAGUGGACGUAAGGUGAAAGCAGGCCAGAGGAGGGACUGUAGCGACGGAGGGGCUAAAGCGAGGUCACUACGCUCCACCAGCGCUGUGGCCUUGACCUCUGCCACCCUACCCCACUGCGACCGUCACAACUAAAAAGAGAUGAACUGUAACCUGAGAUUCAAAACACCAGCCCAACACCAAAGGUGCUUUCUACCCCACCCCAAAGCAAUAAACUCCUCCCAACACUGAAGACCACGACAGUGAUGAUGAUGGUGAUGAUGAUACAUGAUACACUGGCUGGAAACGACGAUUAUGAGUUUAUUAAGGACUUAAUGCUUGAGGAGAAAGUCUUUUGGAGUAGCAACAUUUUGGAGUACUGAACUUUGGAGGACCUGCGAACAUUACCACACAAAGUGGGCUUCAAUCCAUUCGAGGACAUCUACAGGAGCCCGGAUGAGACGGAUUUAUCAGAUUUGUGGGAUUUAUCGGAUUUGAAAAGGCUCAGCAUGAUGAACUCAAGUGAAAGACUGAAGCAGAGCCACAUUUAGUGCUGAGUCAGGUGUUCCUGAGAGUAAAGUCGUGUUUUAAAAGGGAAUUUUUUGGGGACGUUUAUUUGCUGGACCUUCUUUUCUCAGCUGCACCUGGGCUGAUCGAGCUGCUCUACAACUUCUCUGUUCUGUAGUAUCCUAACUGCUCCUUCAGGAACUGCUGAGACUGCCAGUCUGAACUGUGUAGACCGGGAGGAAAAGUCUAUUAUGCAGUAGUUACUUAAGAAUAAACUAUUUAUAGACUCUCUAUCUCUCUAUCUCUAUCUCUCUCUCUCUCUCUCCUGAUCUUUCUCUCCCAGCACAAAAACUACAAACCAAUGUAAUAUCCGCAUAAGACUGUUAUCUUCUCUACUGCCAACAUUACCAAUGUCAUUAACUGUCCAUAAAUGCUUUUUGAUGAUGUUGCUUAUUAUAUAACAGCAAAUGUUCAAUCUCAGAACCAGCAUAUCAGCUGACAGAGUGUGUGCGAUGGGAAGAACAGGUGUGAAGAGACCUAAAAGGAAAGAUGUUUUAUUUUUGUUAAGAAAAUAUGUGCUUAUGUAUAUUCCAGCAGGAAGUAUGUUUUUAUUUUUAUUUCUUUGGUUCUUGUUGUAUGCUAACUAAAGUGCUGAGCUGAGAAACGCUUACUAGCCUUCACCCACUGAGAGGGCUAGCAGUAGACAAGAGUGAACUGUACUGUCGUUUGGCGAAAUGGACAAAAUUUGGAUCGAAAACAGGGAACUGACACACAUCUGAUAAAGUUUGAUGGUGUAAAAUUUUACACCAUAUGUAAUGUUCUAAAUGUUGGUAAUAGCAAGUCAAGCAGACUGACCACGCUGACUGACCAGCAGAUACAGCACCAGACCUGCAUUAAUCAUCUUAAACCCAACAUUAAACAGCAAAACUACAGAAUAAUGCAUUUUUAGUGCUGGUAUGCUGGUCAGAACCGUAAUGAUCAUGCUGACUGACCAGAAAAAACAGUUCCACACCAGCAUAGACCAUCAUAAACCAAUUAAACAUGGCAUAGACCAACAGACAUGCUUCAGCCUAAGGUCUAAGCCUUUUUUCCAUCGCUUCUCAGAAGGGAUGCCAACAACUUUGCUAAAAACUAGCUAAGAUACUAAGCUAAUGUGCUCAGUGUGAUCAAUCAAACAACAGCCAGGGUUUUCCCAAUCAUAUUCAAACAGUGUACUAUUGCUAAUAAGGUCACAAUAUAAAAGACAAUGCAAAAAGUCGCUACACUGUCACACACUGGCCCUAGUGUAUUAGCAAUGAAUGUUUUCUAGCCCUAAGCAAUGUUCAGUUUAAAAGCAUUGGAGAUGGAGUUCUAAUCUAAAUGCUUUUGUACCAAUUUGAGGUUCUAAUUUAUUGAGACAUUAUGGAAAUAAUUCAUCAUGUUCCAGGAAGGUGAGAUACUGCUAUCUGUUUCAGUACUCUUUUUAAAUUGGUCAUAAAUAGUAGUUCAAGCGGUAGCCUGAGAAAAAACAAACCUUGUAAUACAUAACAUUCAGCUCAUGACAUUUUUAUACAUGCUACAGGACUUCUGAUACUUCAAGUUACUCCAAUAACCUUAGCGACUUAGCAAGUUAAAGACUACACAGCUAACAGUAACAAAACAGAAGAAAUGCCAUGAUAUUUUACAUAUUUACAAAUAUAAAGUGUAAAGUUAUGGUUAGCUCCUUCCUGAUGGUGCCAUAGCCAUUCAUCACCAGCAGUCUGUUAGCUAAUGUAGCUGAACUGCUUAUCAGUGUUCUCCUCCAAGCACACUGAGCUGUACAGCGAUGCUCCUCUAGUGGCAUUUUGAUGCUUCUCAUGUCCUGGAGGAAAUGUGUGCUGGCCUUCAGUUAAGUAGCACUGUGUGCACAGAAAAACACCCAUAUGGACUAAUUCCCUUUUCUUUUUUUAAAGAUAUUAAAAACAGUACUGAAACAUGGCUCUACUUCCACAACCACCCUACCAAAUGCCCUUUUCUUACCCCAUCUCUUCUUGGCAGUACUUCAGAAGGUAAAGUAAAGCAUUAAACAGAAAAGAUAUUGAGUAGUUUGUACAGAGUGUACUGGGUGUUCUAAAGGGAUUCCUGCUGCUGUUUUUGUAUUAAGAGCUCCAACAUUUCACUGAAUAUUAGAGGUCUACGAUGAUGUAAUUGGUGCUAUAUUUAUAAUGCAAGCUAGCAAUGUAUCAUAGCCGACCUUCACCCUAGCCAUUCAUAUAAACAUUCUUUUAGGUUUAUAUGUAGAACAGGGACCAUGUUCAAGGACUACACCAUACAUAUUAUCACUGAGCUUUUGUUUUUAAUUUCUAUGCCCUUGAUUGGAUGAAAUAACAAUGACUAUAAUUUAUAUAUUUAUGGUUUCAGUAAUAAAGUACAUUUCUGCUCAUUAAACUUUAUAUAAAAGAUAA